UAGUGGCGUACAGAGUAGUCAAGCAUGACCAAAGCUUAUCAUAAUAUCUACAUUAUAUGUA
rnacentral:precursor_RNA from 1 species